rnacentral:rRNA from 1 species
CCCUUAGAUGUUCUGGGCCGCACGCGCGCUACAAUGAUGAAUUCAACGAGUUUAUAACCUUGGUUGAAAAGCCUGGGUAAUCUUUUGAACUUUCGUCGUGAUGGGGCUAGACCCUUGCAAUUAUUGGUCUCCAACGAGGAAUUCCUAGUAAACGCAAGUCAUCAGCUUGCAUUGAUUACGUCCCUGCCCUUUGUACACACCGCCCGCCGCACCUACCGAUUGAAUGGUCCGGUGAAAUCUUCGGAUUGAGACUUUGUUUUCUUCACGGAAAACGCUGUUUUAAAAAGUUGAUUAAACCUUACCAUUUAGAGGAAGGUGAAGUCGUAACA